AACGGCGAGUGAAGCGGCAAAAGCUCAAAUUUGAAACCACCUCGGUGGGUUGUAAUUUGAAGAUUGUGUUCUGGACACGACCACGCCUAUGUUCCUUGGAACAGGACGUCACAGAGGGUGAGAAUCCCGUGCGGCGUGGCCCCCGUGCCCGUAUAGAACACUCUCGACGAGUCGAGUUGUUUGGGAAUGCAGCUCAAAGUGGGUGGUAAAUUCCAUCUAAAGCUAAAUAUUGGCGAGAGACCGAUAGCGAACAAGUACAGUGAUGGAAAGAUGAAAAGCACUUUGAAAAGAGAGUGAAACAGUACGUGAAAUUGUUGAAAGGGAAGGGCAUGCCGUCAGAUUGCCAGUAUCGAUUGGUGGGGAGGGACAACAGUAGAGGAACGUGGCCUUCGGGUGUUAUAGCCUCUAUCAAUACCUCCAUCGCCGAUCGAGGACUGCUUUU
rnacentral:rRNA from 1 species